rnacentral:hammerhead_ribozyme from 1 species
AUCCAGCUGAUGAGUCUCAAAUAGGACGAAACACGCUUCCUGGAU